CCUACGGGGGGCAGCAGUGGGGGAUAUUGCACAAUGGGGGAAACCCUGAUGCAGCGACGCCGCGUGAGUGAAGACGUAUCUCGGUAUGUUAAGCUCUAUUAGUAGGGAAGAAACACGACGGUACCUGACUAAGUAGCCUCGGCUAAAUACGUGCCAGCAGCCGCGGUAAUACGUAGGGGGCAAGCGUUAUCCGGAUGUACUGGGUGUAAAGGGAGCGUAGACGGCAAUACAAGUCGGAAGUGAAAUACCCGGGCUCAACCUGGGAACUGCUUGGGAAACUGGAUGGCUGGAGUGCUGGAGAGGUAAGCGGAAUUCCUAGUGUAGAGGUGAAAUGCGUAGAUAUUAGGAAGAACCCCAGUGGCGAAGGCAGCUUACUGGACAGUAACUGACGUUGAGGCUCGAAAGCGUGGGGAGCGAACAGGAUUAGAUACCCGAGUAGUC
rnacentral:rRNA from 1 species